rnacentral:rRNA from 1 species
GUGCCAGCCGCCGCGGUAAUACGGAGGGUGCAAGCGUUAUCCGGAUUUACUGGGUUUAAAGGGUGCGUAGGCGGUCUUUUAAGUCGGUGGUGAAAGCUCGCAGCUUAACUGUGAAACUGCCAUCGAUACUGAAAGUCUUGAAUACCUUGGAUGUGGGCGGAAUACAUCAUGUAGCGGUGAAAUGCUUAGAUAUGAUGUAGAACACCGAUUGCGAAGGCAGCUCACAACAAGGCAAUUGACGCUGAGGCACGAAAGCGUGGGUAGCAAACAGGAUUAGAAACCCCCGUAGUCC